GAUCAAAAUAUUUCCACAGAAUAAUAAAAAUAACAUUAUUCUAAUUUCAACUCCAUACAACUAACAUUCACAAUUUUAUUCAACAGCACACUUUAUGCAUCUCUUGUUUGUGUGUGUAUGUGUGCGACACAGAUUCAAAUUUGCCGCCAAUUCCCGCCCACAACGUCGAAUGUGUCGUAGGUCGUAACAGUCGAAUGAGCAGCAAUGAUUUGGUCACGUGUUUUAGAAGUUUGAAUUCACAAACGGAUGUCAUGCGACUCAACGGGUUUGCGCGGAUAUCUUCGAUUCACUGCUUUAGGUGAGCCAUCCUCGGAUAUCAUGGAGCUGCAUUUGCAUUUUGGAAUAAGGAAUAUGUUUUCUCCUGCGUUUCGAACGAAGGGUGGGAACGUCAUCGGAUCGGUGCAACAUCUCCCGGGUUUCUCCAUGUACAACGUGUGAUGGUGCUUUUCUCGUAGACGUUUCUCUGGACAGACAGUGAGAGAGAAGCCGUUGAUCCACUGAUGAUGUUGGUCUGUUUACAGAUUAUAGAAAAACCUGUGCUUGUGGGUCUACAUCGGAUGACCAUGGCAACCCAGGUGUGGAAAUAUUAGACUGUUUUUAAUCUGAAAUCUGUGUAAUCUAAGAUGGACAAUUCUUCUGACACCAUAUGAAUGCAUACUGUCGUCUGGCAGAAGCUAGAUCAUUUAGAUUAUAAAGUUAUAUGUUUUUACACAUGCAUCUAUUUGCUUCAGAAGGCCUUUAUUAAAGGAUUAGUUCACCUCAAAAUGAACAUUUCCUGAUCAUUAAAGGAAUAGUCUACUCAUUUUCAAUAUUAAACUAUGUUAUUACCUUAACUAAGAAUUGUUGAUACAUCCCUCUAUCAUCUGUGUGCGUGCACGUAAGCGCUGGAGCGCGCUGCUACACUUCGAUACCA